ACUGCAAACAACACGUGGACGCAGUGGCACACGUGCACACGUGUAGUAAAUGUAUGCUGAGCGCACGGUGGUCUCUUUAAUCCGUUUAUUUUCGCGACUUCGUGGAUCAUCAUUAAGAAAUUAGUCUGAAGAAUCGCUGAUGGCACACCUAGUUCCUACGUGAUGACAUUGAUGGAGAGGAAGUCAUUGAGAGAAGAUGAUGGAGCAAGGAGUGGCUAAUGAGACGGCAGCAUCAGUGGAGAGCGAAGAACCUGAGUACAUCUCUGACGAGUUUGGCCUCACAGAAAAUGAUGAAGAUGACUCUGAUGUUAGCUGUAACAUAGACAAUGAAGGUGUUAAAGAUAAUAGCAGCGUGGUUGGUCCCCUGCCUGUGG